GCGAAAGUAGACGCGUUCUCGGCGAUCGCUGGCGGCCGCGUUAAUUAACUCGUACUCAUACGCGUACUAAAAAUAAUUCGUUUUGUCGCGACGAAACUCGAAGUUAAUCAAACGAUAUUAGAUCGAAGCACGCCGAGAGAUUAAACGGAUCAGCGCAGUGAAAACGGGCGCGAAUGAAAAUUACGCGGAAAUUAUGUAAAAUAAUGGGAAAGUACACGAGGAGGUAAAAUUCUCGUCAUCCGUCCGACUAAUUUCGAUUCGUGCUACCGGCUCGACAAAGCGACUCUUUGAGGAACACGAAUCAAAAAAAGAAGAGAAUUCCUUUCACACUUAUUCUGUCGUCUUUUGAUAGCCUACGGCUAUUCACUAAAGACACUUUCGCCUUUCGUUCUUCAAAUUCCGGAAAAAGCUACGUGAAAAACAUUCCGCUCUUUCAAUCUUCUCAACAUUAUUAAAAAACUGAUUUCACGUCGACGACGACGCCGACGACGACGGUGGAUACGAGCAAGAAAACGAGCGAUACUCGAGAGUGGAGUCAAGAUGACGAGACAGCCGCAUUAUCUCGCGGCACGAACGUAAACAUUGACACGAAUUUUUGCAAGCUUCGCCGUGGUGAACGACGCUGCGAAGGAAAAUCGUGAGCGUGAACGAGGCGAUGCAAGACGCAAGGGCUGCGAGUUACCCUUCAACGGCGUCAAAGCAGCCUCUUCACCAGCCGACACGAUGCCCACGUCCAACGGUAUAAUUCCACGAACAACCAGAAACAGCGCGGUAUCCUUUUUGGCCUUUAACUACAGUAACCAGAACAACAAGGUUUUAUAGAAGAAGGUUCAAACUAUUAAUCAAACUCGCCCAUAAGAUACAACCAGGAACCCUGGAAGAACGAAGCAACCAGAACAGAAUAGAAGAGUAUCGAAGAGGAACAAAACGACGAUGGAAAUGGAAAUGGAGAGGAAAGUGACUGGGAAUUGAACAAAGUGCGGAAAAUGGAUUACGCGUCAGAUGAAGAACCAGCUGCGAACGAGUAGAGGAAUGAAAGGGUGACAAGACAAGUUAGAGCGCGAGACACAACGAAUCGCAGACGCAACGUGGUGAAAAUUUGUGAUACCGUCCCGUGUCAGAAAAUUGGACGAAGCAAGAAGGGGGAGAUCCUGAAAGACGAGAUAUAGAUUUAGGAAGGUGCGAAAGAGAGAAGGAAAAAUAACAGGAAGAGGCAGAGGGUAACUGUAUAGGACCUUAAAAGGUUGGAAAGGAAAGGGUAACAACGAGAACGAGGGAUGAGGUAAAGAAGUAACAGAAGGGGUUAAGAAGGGGUUAAAGCGUGGUGCGCUGGGAAAAAGAGAACCCCGAGGGAAAGGGACAGAUAACGACGGAUAGUUAGAAAAAGGGUGAAGGGCAAGAAUUACGAUGGAAAAAGGAUAGAAAGCUGUGGAUGAUGGAAAAAGGGGAAUAGGUACAAAGAGAAAGGUGAGCGAUUGGUACGAGAGAAAGGAAAGAUUGAGAGAGAGGAGGAAGGGAUGGUGGAAAGGGGUUAGGUUAGGUAGGAAAGAGGAAAGUGACAGCGCGUCGGAAGAAAUAAGCGGAAAAUAGAGAAAAGCGGAGAGAGGCCAUGAUGGCAGUAGUAUAGGUCGGCAAUUUCUCGGACGCAGGAGCAAGAACUUUUAGCCCGUUAAUUUUAUGCAGACGGAGCUUCCUCUGGUUCUUCCUCCGCUAUUCCUCCGUUCAAUUCGACAAGGGUUCAGACCACGGGAAGGGUAGAACGGAACAGGAAAGAGCAUGCUACGUGGAAAAUGGCUGUGACCGCUAAUCCAAUCGGCUUUCGCGAGAAUUAAGGCUGCUCUUUUCUAGCGUCGCGCGUGGAUCCAAUUUGGCACUUAGGUAAUUAACGUUGCCUACGAGGCGGCCUGACAACGAACUUACGCGCGUAAUUAACGCAGUCGCGUAGGCUUAAAGCGACAUUGCAUUAACGUACGGGUUCGACCUGUUCGUCCCGAUGGAUGCUGGAUGUCGUGGAUAGAUGACGUGUUAGGAUCUGUCUGAAAGGGUGACAACUACGAAACUUACGACAGGGUAUUAGCUAUCGACGUAUGAAGACGUGAAUGCUAAAAUUUCUUUCAGUCAGCGUACUCCAUCCGACUCUUAGUACGUAGAAGAUAAAAUUCGUUUGUCAAAAAUAGGAAUUUUGCGUAUCAUGCAACAUCGGGGGAAAAAUUCAAGGGACCCGGUAAAAAUUUGUCUUCGCUUACGAUGCGCACAUACUCGCACGCCUGCCGCGAAUUUCCUGCGGAUUAUUCCGGAUUAAGCGACCAACUUUUAAUUGCAUUGUAUUUUGCGAUGGAAUGUUUAAUCAGCGGCGGAAAACGCGGAACAACGGCACACUUUUCAUCGACGCUCGGUAAUGCGCUUAGCCGAAAGUAAUCAGAAAGCAGGACGUGCGUUUUCGUCGGCUUUUUCGCCGGUUGCUUGCAACUGAACACUGUAUAAAGCAGUGUGCAAACUGGCGUCGAACCACCGAAUUUUCUAUGGAGAAUCCCAGCGAAAAAAGAAAGCCGGGUAUUUGAUGAGAAACCACUGGCUGUUAUCGUUCAUAACUAACUGGUGAAUUGCUGUUGAAUACAGGGAUUGGGAGAAAUUAUAAACCGUGUGGAUAUUAAUUACGUGCAAAAUUGCUUGUACAAUGAUUUCUGGUAAUCCGAGACGGAGGAAUAAUCCGUAAAUAUAAGUUGAAUUUAUAUGCACUGGCUGUUCGUAAGUAUUAGCAUAUCUGCAUUUUAUACGUGUGACAACAGGUUCAGAUAAUGGAAAUAAUUUUUAUGGCAAACACAUUGUUCUCAAAUAAUUCUCUAAUGUAAACUUCGUUAAACAAAUGUUGAACGAUUUAAAUACAAAAAUCCAGAGAAGUUUAUAUAUUCAACAUUUGUAAUUAAAUAACAGCAAAUACGACAGAAGCAUUAAUAAUUCGAAUGUCAGAAUUGGUUAAAAUAAUGGUCUAAAAACGCAAUAAAUGUAAACAAGAAAAAUGUAAUCUUAUUAAAGAUUAAAGAUAAAAUUUGCCUUAAAACGUU